ensembl:lncRNA
UGCCAAGGAGGAGCCCUCAAACAAACAGCCCUACUUGAGUUUCUAGAUGAUUAAGUGGAAAAUAUUCUACUUUGGCGGAAAAUCUCUGCUCAUCAAGUGUCACUUUUCACGAGGUGUGAGUACCAUUCAGGAAAUUUUCAUCACAGAAGUUUCCUUAAAAACCUUUGGAAACUGGUGAAACCCCACACCACUGUGGCUUGGCUGCUUGGCCCUGAGGCU